AAUUUAUGCAACACAAAACUCCUCCUCUGGGCCAGGCUAGAUAAUUGAGUUUCUACAAUACACAAAGCUCAAUUAUCUGCUGGCCAGAAAUAAUACAGUUUCAUAAAACACACAGGGACCCCAAAACAUGUAAUAACCCCAUAAAAAGUAUAUCCUUGGAACCGGGGGAUCUGGGUGAACCACAUAUCCAAAAUUCACCCAGAUCUGUUCAGUACUUUGGAAAAUACAGUUUAAUGCAGAUUCUGCAGAACAUAUACAGGCUAAAUGAAAAACAAUCACUUUAUAAUGUGUCCCCUGCUGUAUAGUCCAAAACCACUGCACGAUGUCUCUGUGCAC